AUUGUACGCUGGCGGCAGGCCUAACACAUGCUAGUCGAACGAGUGGCGGACUGGUGAGUUAUGGCUGGGACACUGCCCGAUGGAGGGGGAUCACUACUGGAAACGGUAGCUAUUACCGCCUCCCAUCGUCUGUGCCCCGAUGGGAUGCGCUAGUAGGUGGGGUAACGGCUCACCUCGGCGACUAUCCCUAGCUGGUCUGAGAGGAUGACCAGCCACACGGGACCUGAGACACGGUCCAGACUCAUACGGGAGGCAGCAGUGGGGAAUAUUUCACAAUGGGCGCAAGCCUGAUGCAGCCAUGACGCGGGUAGGAAGGAGGACUUCGGGUUGUAAAAUACUUUCAGCGAGGAGGCGUUACUCGCAGAAGAAGCAACGGCUAACUCGGUGCCAGCAGCCGCGGUAAUAC
rnacentral:rRNA from 1 species